rnacentral:rRNA from 1 species
GAUAAGCGGAGGAAAAGAAACCAACAGGGAUUGCCUCAGUAACGGCGAGUGAAGCGGCAACAGCCCAGAUUUGAAAUCCGGCUUUCGGGCCCGAGUUGUAGUCUGCAGAUGAGACUUUUGGCUACGCGCCGUCCAAGUUCCCUGGAACGGGACGCCAUAGAGGGUGAGAGCCCCGUACCGACGUGCGCUGCGCCUUUGCAAAGCUCAUUCGACGAGUCGAGUAGUUUGGAAAUGCUGCUCUAAUUGUGGGGUAAAUCUCCCAUAAGGCUAAAUAUUGGCCAGAGACCGAUAGCGCACAAGUAGCGUGAGCGAAAGAUGAAAAGAGCCUUGGACAAGGGCGUCAAAAAGUAUGUGAAAUUGUUGUGGGGGAAGCGCUCAAGGCCAGACUUGGCGGCGGUUGGUUACCCGGCGUUCUCGCCGGCGCACUCUGCCGUCGCCAGGCCAGCAUCAGUUCGGCUUGGGACCUACUUCCAUAGGGAAUGUGGCUCUUCGGAGUGUUAUAGCCCUGUGGCGACGUUCUGUGCCGGACUGAGGAACGCGCAUCGCUUGGAUGCUGGCGUAAUGGCCUUUAGCGACCCGUCUUGAAACACGGACCAAGGAGUUGACCUAGCAUGCGAGUGUUUGGGUGUCAAGCCCUUACGCGCAGUGAAAGCGAACGUAGGUGGGAGCCCUUUGGGUGCACCAUCGACCGAUCCUGAAGUUUACGGAUGGAUUUGAGUAAGAGCAUGCUGGGUCUGACCCGAAAGAAGGUGAACUAUGCAUGAAUAGGGUGAAGCCAGAGGAAACUCUGGUGGAGGCUCGCAGCGGUCUGACGUGCAAAUUGAUCGUCAAAUUUGUGCAUGGGGGCGAAAGACCAAUCGAACCUUCUAGUAGCUGGUUCCUGCCGAAGUUU